rnacentral:rRNA from 1 species
AACGAACGCUGGCGGCAGGCUUAACACAUGCAAGUCGAGCGGGCGCUUUCGGGCGUCAGCGGCGGACGGGUUAGUAACGCGUGGGAACGUGCCCUUUGCUCUGGAAUAGCCCUGGGAAACCGGGGGUAAUACCGGAUGUGCCCUGAGGGGGAAAGGUUUUACCGGCAAGGGAUCGGCCCGCGUCUGAUUAGGUAGUUGGUGUGGUAACGGCGCACCAAGCCGACGAUCGGUAGCUGGUUUGAGAGGAUGAUCAGCAACACUGGGACUGAGACACGGCCCAGACUCCUACGGGAGGCAGCAGUGGGGAAUCUUAGACAAUGGGCGAAAGCCUGAUCUAGCCAUGCCGCGUGGGUGAUGAAGGCCUUAGGGUCGUAAAGCCCUUUCGCCGGGGAAGAUAAUGACGGUACCCGGUAAAGAAACCCCGGCUAACUCCGUGCCAGCCGCCGCCGUAA